GCUGACACCGGAACUCGUCGCAUUACUUUCAGUAGGCUGUUGCGUUUUCACGUGUGCGGGCCGUAAAAAACUACGCGUGGGAUUUUUUUUAGUUCUUAAUUAAAGAAAUGAUUAGGCUUUUGUACACAAAAUGCGUUUCUGAGUCGGUAUUUGAAAAUGUGAACCUCGUUCCCGAUAAUAUUCCUGAAACGACGUGAUGCACGUGCGGACACGUGGUUGAUUUGGGAGGAAAUGUGAGAUUUGCUGCUGAAAUCUGCAUGGCGCAUGCGCAGUGCAUGAUUUGUCUUCCAUGAGAUGGGUACAGGAAAGAGAAAAGAGGUGGGACCCCUGAAAGGAAGCCAGUGGCGGGGACCCCUGAAAGGAUUGACUUAACCAUAAGACCAAAGUCAGUCAGAUUUUGUACAACAGUUUUAUAAGCAAAAUGUGUCUUUUGUAUUCUCUCUUGUUGUCUUUGUAGGGUUGAAUGACCUUGUACACAAAGGAUGUCUUGUGGAAGAAGAAUUUGAUGCUUGUAGAAUAAACUUUUACACUUCACGACCAUA